GGGGACUACGGUCGCAAGACUAAAACUCAAAGGAAUUGACGGGGACCCGCACAAGCGGUGGAGCAUGUGGUUUAAUUCGAUGCAACGCGAAAAACCUUACCACUUCUUGACAUGGAGGCUAGAUCCUUCUUAACAGAAGGGCGCAGUUCGGCUGGGCCUCGCACAGGUGCUGCAUGGCUGUCGUCAGCUCGUGUCGUGAGAUGUUGGGUUAAGUCCCGCAACGAGCGCAACCCUCAUCCUUAGUUACCAGCGGUUAAUGCCGGGCACUUUAAGGAAACUGCCAGUGAUAAACUGGAGGAAGGUGGGGAUGAUGUCAAGUCAGCACGGCCCUUAUGGGGUGGGCUACACACGUGCUACAAUGGCGACUACAAUAGGUCGCAACGUCGCAAGGCUGAGCUAAUCCGUAAAAAUCGUCUCAGUUCGGAUUGUCCUCUGUAACUCGAGGGCAUGAAGUCGGAAUCGCUAGUAAUCGUGGAUCAGCAUGCCACGGUGAAUACGUUCUCGGGUCUUGUACACACUGCCCGUCACGCCAUGGGAAUUGGCUUAACUCGAAG
rnacentral:rRNA from 1 species